AAACGACAUUGACAAUGAUCUAUUUCUCUUUCAAAACACUUCCCUGUCAAAACAGUCUAUGACAGUUGUUGCUGUCAUAAUAAACAACAAGACGUUCAUAUUCAAAAUACGAGAGAAGAGAAGCAAACAGAACUCGCGUUUGCCGACGACUAUCAUCGCUUGAGGUGAAUAGAUAAAGGAAAGCUGCUGUAAUGUUGCAGAAGACGACGACAGCAGUUAUCCUGCUGAUAACAGGGAGUCAGUGCUCUCCAAUACCUGGUUUCACUCUCAAUGGAAAAUAUUACGACCUGCAGUGGAGGUCAACGGAAUAAACAUAUUGGAUAUAUAGUACUGCAAGCAGAUAAAACACUGAUCUUACUAUAGAUGGUCGCUGGUAAUAAAAGGAGCUUGCACUCUGAAACACUCUUCGUGUCGGAGAAAGAGAAAAUGGGAAAGAUUAAAUGUGGAUAUACAGUGUACGGAGCGUGGGACCAAAGAGGGCUGAAUAAAUUAAACAUAGUACUAGUACAUGUACAAUAACUGCCUUAGAAUCUUCAUAUCGAGAUAAGCAGAGUCCAAACAGUUUCCGAAGCUCCUUGCUGGUCCCAAAAGAACCGAAAAAUCGACCUAACAAAAAAAUCGAAUUAUUUUCUUUUUUAUGUACAAGAACGACUAAAAACAUUUAUUGUCAACAAGAGGUCUGAUAAAUUUUUUUACAGCCCACAACGAUCGCAUUCAAAGAACUUAAGUAUUUGAAAACUGAUGGAAUGCGGAUAUCGACAAAGCACUUCAAGCAAAAUUGAUUAUAGUGAUCAGCUGCAGAAAGUACUCUAUUUUCAAGUCAGCUCUCUAGCAACAUACACGGUUGAUUUGAAACGAGAUUAAA